GGGGCCGUAACUCAGUGGUAGAGUGCCUCGUUUGCAAACUCUAGAUAUCGCAAGAUAAUCUUGAUAAAAUUCGAUGAAGUCCAGGGUUCAAUCCCCUGCCGCUCCA
rnacentral:tRNA from 1 species